rnacentral:tRNA from 1 species
GGUGUUGCCAAGCGGUUAAGGCGCUGGACUCUGACUCCAGCAUGCGUGGGUUCAAAUCCUACCACC